rnacentral:rRNA from 1 species
GACGAACGCUGGCGGCGCGCUUAACACAUGCAAUUCGAACGGAAAGGCCUGCUUUCCCUUGUGAAUUCCGGGUACUCGAUUGCCAAACGGUUAAUUACCACGUAGUUAAUCUGCCCCCAACUUGGGUAUAAGCCUGGGAAACUGGUUCUAAUUCCCGAUGGGCCUGCAGGUUGGUGCCUGUGUUGGAAAACGAUUUUCUAGUGUUUGGGGAUGAGCUCGCGGCCUAUCAGCUUGUUGGUGGGGUAAUGGCCUACCAAGGCGGCGACGGGUAGCCGGCCUGAGAGGGUGGACGGCCACAUUGGGACUGAGAUACGGCCCAGACUCCUACGGGAGGCAGCAGUGGGGAAUAUUGCACAAUGGGCGGAAGCCUGAUGCAGCGACGCCGCGUGGGGGAUGACGGCCUUCGGGUUGUAAACUCCUUUCGACCGCGAGGAAGCCACCUGGUUGGGAGGGUGGUGACGGUAGUGGUAGAAGAAGCACCGGCUAACUACGUG